CUCGGAAAAGAUUUGUAACGUCAUACUUCAUUGUUAAUGAAAUUUGUGCUAAUGGUGGGUUUUUGAGCUAGUGCCAAAUAGACUCAAUUGCGUUGAGAUCUGGUGACUGAGAGGGCCAUGGCGUAUAGCUUACAUUGUUUUCAUGCUCAUCAAGCCACUCAUUGGCCGAUGGAUAGAGGCAUUGUCAUCCUAUGGGGGCAUUUCCAUGGUUGGCAAAAUAAUGGCCUGACUGGUAUUUUUAUACAUGACCCUAAGCAUGAUGGGAUGUAACUUACUUAAUUAACGGAGGAACCUCACCUGUGUGGAAGCACCUGUUUUCAAUACACUUUGUAUCCCUCAUUUCCUCAAGGGUUUCCAUUAUUUUGGCAGUUACCUAUAAAUUGCAGUUGAACUGUGCCUUAUAGUUCAUCUAAGUCCUCAAAAUAUUUGGAUUUUUUUUAUUACAAUAUAGGUAACAUCAUCACCACACUCAAUCGCUACCUCGUCAAUACUGUGUAGGUUUGACAGAGAGAGAGAGAGAGAGAGAGAGAGAGAGAGAGAGAGAUCUGGUGGAUGAGAUAGGUUUGACAGAGAGAGAGAGAGAGAGAGAGAGAGAGAGAUCUGGUGGAUGAGAUAGGUUUGACAGAGAGAGAGAGAGAGAUCUGGUGGAUGAGAUAGGUUUGACAGAGAGAGAGAGAUCUGGUGGAUGAGAUAGGUUUGACAGAGAGAGAGAGAGAGAGAGAGAGAGAGAGAGAGAGAGAGAGAGAGAGAGAGAGAGAGAGAGAGAUCUGGUGGAUGAGAUAGGUUUGACAGAGAGAGAGAGAGAUCUGGUGGAUGAGAUAGGUUUGACAGAGAGAGAGAGAGAGAGAGAGAGAGAGAGAGAGAGAGAGAUCUGGUGGAUGAGAUAGGUUUGACAGUUUUGACAGAGAGAGAGAGAGAGAGAGAGAGAGAGAGAGAGAGAGAGAGAGAGAGAUCUGGUGGAUGAGAUAGGUUUGACAGAAAGAGAGGGAGAGAGAGACAUCUAUCUGGUGGAUGAG
ensembl:lncRNA